CACAAUUCACCCUUGCCGUAAAAUCACGUCUAAACAUUCCGCAACAUACAUCAACGUUAUGUCGCGUCAAGGUUUCUGUGGAUGUUUUGACGAUGACGUUUCUGGGAGGAAGUGUGUUGCAUGCGUACAUCAGAAGUUAACCUAUUGUCCCCGCGUUCUCUCCUGUUAUAUUAUGUUUUCGUGCCUUCUUAACCUUUCAUUUAUAAUUUCGCUUUGGUUACGUGAUAAAUUGCAAAGGUUCCGUGACGACUUGGACAUUUUUCCCAUAAGCAUGAUCAGGUGUCUGAAACUGAAAAAUGAUUUAGGUUUUGCAGCAACUGAACAGAGCUCUCGCCUCCAUAGUGUAUAAAUAAAAACAUUAAUUCGUGAAUCAAUUUUCAUUAACUAAACUUUAAGUGAAAAAGGUGAAAAAGGCUACUUUACUGAAGAAGAUCAACAAAGCUGUUUACGAAGUUAUCUGCUACGUAGGGAAUAAAAUAUUUCUCUGGGGACAAUGCACAGAGUAAAAUGAUUGUGUAUGUGAAUGGGACUCUUCUGUCGGUCAUUUUGCUUCAUGGGGCAUUGUGUUCUUUGGGGUUUAGCUGUCUUCUAUGUUAUGUUCGUGUUCUUCACGGAGUACGACUAACAGCAGAAAUUGGACAUAGAUCUGUGCAAGGAAAGGCAACAUAAAGGGUCACAGGUUUGUCUGACUUAUGGAAGAGUGUCACCGAAAUGCUGUGAUUCAUGAAUUGGCAGACACAAGAAUAGAGACACUAGUUAUCCAGUAUUAACUGAAGAACAUGGAGAUAUUCUUCACCCCUCUACAUACCACUCAAAUAGCGGCUGCAAAGAGAUUACAUUUAUUACUGCAUAGACAUUGACAUUUAAGCAGUAAGCAGUCAUUCUUCACACAAUCUGUACUCUAAUGAAAUGGGAAGAAACACUAUAGUACAAUGGCAAGUACCCUGUCAUACAGUUCAUAGUGAUUUGCAGACUGACGACGUAAAUGUAGACAGCACCAUUCUCUCUCUCUCUCUCUCUCUCUCUCUCUCUCUCUCUCUCUCUCUCUCUCUAGUGUAUGUAUGUUCAACAUCUCCACCUAAACCACUGGAUCGAGUUCAAUCACAUUUGGCACACAUACUACCAACAAUCUGGAAAGAAGCACUGUGAGGGUAGGUACCGCAUAGCUCACACAUGGUAGGGAUGGGAAUGAUGGUGAAAAAGCGUUGGUAAAGCAUGACAUCUAUAUUGCCCUGCAUGCCUGUCAUGUUGUGCACAUAGUAUCAUAAUGCAAUCCAGGGGAUACAUGUGCAGAUUGUCAGGCAGAGGAGAGAGAUGGGAGAAGUAGGAGGUUGACAGUGAAUGUGGGGAGGAUGAGAUGGACAGAGAAAGAGGUAGGAGGAGAUGGACAGAGAGAGGUGAGAGUAGAAGGCAGACAGAAAGAGAAGGAGGCAGAGGAGAUGGAUAGACAGAGGGAGGGGAGGAGAUGGACAUGUGGUGGUGGGAGGAUGAGAAGGACAGAAGGAGAGUCAGGAGGAGGAGACAGAGGGAGGAGGAAAUGGACAGAGAGAGGGGAAGAUGUCAUUGACAGAGAGGUGGUGGGAAGAGGAGGUGGCCUAAUAGAAUAUUGUAAUAAAUAAAUGCCUGGGUAAUAGCACACUCAGCUCUAAAUGAAUAAUGGUGUCACUAAUAUGAUCAUGUUACCAUUACCUUCCUCUUCCAAUUCUAGAUCUAAUUAUAGAGCUUAACACAGUCCACAACACAAGUUGACAUUUGUCACUUAAAGAAAAAAAAUUAAAAAUUACAGCAGGAUAGAACAAGACAGCUCUACUUUUGUAGAAGUAGCAUUUAACAUGCAGAGGUACAGUGCAAUGACGAAUUGCGUUUCAGUAACAUAAUAACUCUGUGGGGGGGAGGGGGGGGACAUACUGUUACUUUUCCUAAUACACAUGCAAAUAAUGAAUAUGAAGUUGAAGAUAUAAUUAGCUGCUGCCUUAAUUUGUUUUACAGAAUGGCCACCGCAUUUUAGGAUCACGAUUCCAUAACUAAAAAGGCAUCAUGCUUGUACAAACACUGAAUUAGCACCACUAAUUUUUACGGAUUGUCACUACAUGUGUUGAACCUAACACUGCAAAAGUGGAAUAUUAUGGCUACUUUCAUUGUCUCAUUGAGUACGGAAUUAUUUUUUGGGGCAACCAGCCAUUAGCAAGGAAAGUGUUCAUUACACAGAAGCGAGCUUUAAGAAUUAUAUGUGGAUUGCGCCCAAGAGACUCUUGUAGAAAUAGUUUUCGUAAUCUUAAAAUAUACACAACUACAUGCCAAUAUAUUUUUUCUCUCAUGUGUUUUGUUUGUAAAAAUAUAGAUAUAUUUCAACCAAACAGUAACUAUCAUGAGCAUAACACACGGAGGAAGAAUGACAUACACAGUGAACUCAGAAAUUUGAGCUUGGCACAAAAGGGUGUCCACUACACUGGAGCAAAACUCUUCAAUGCUCUUCCUCCCGAAAUAAAGGCAAAGAUUCAUAACAAUAGUGAGUUUAAGAAAGCUCCAAAAAUAUUUCUGCUACAAAAAACUUUUUACAGUCUAGAUGAAUUUUUAACUAAAUAAAUUGUAAUAUUUUAAUAUUAUAUAAUACAAGUUGACAUAAUGCCACUAUGAAUUUUAUUUAACCUGAGCUCUGAAUCUGUGUGUGCUCCGUAUCUGUUUUCUGUAGUGUUUUAAUGAUUCUAAGAAAAUAUGUAUUUUCUUUUUCUGUAUUGCUGCCCAAAGAAUUUACUGUAUAAAUUUUUAUAUAAUUAUGUACUCAAAUUUCUGUAUAUGCUAUAAGAUUAUCAGAUUGUAUUUGUAAAAAACUGACUCGUUCCACGUCCUUGUGUAUCCAACACAGUUGGACCUAUGGAACACGAAAUAAAUCAAAUCAAAUCA